rnacentral:rRNA from 1 species
UACGGAGGGUGCGAGCGUUGUCCGGAAUCAUUGGGCGUAAAGGGCGCGUAGGUGGCCCGGUCAGUUCGUGGUGAAAGCGCGGGGCUCAACCCUGCGUCGGCCAUGAAUACUGCCGCGGCUGGAGCACUGUAGAGGCAGGCGGGAAUUCCGGGUGUAGCGGUGGAAUGCGUUGAUAUCCUAAGGAACACCGGUGGCGAAAGCGGCUCACUGGAUCUCUUCUGACGCUGAGGCACGAAAGCUAGGGUAGCGAACGGGA